UGAAAGUCCUUCCGUGUCGGCGAUAACUCAAUAAGUACCCCGCCUGGGGAGUACGGCCGCAAGGCUGAAACUCAAAGGAAUUGACGGGGGCCCGCACAAGCGGUGGAGCAUGUGGUUUAAUUCGACGCAACGCGAAGAACCUUACCGGGGUUUAAACUGACCUGGACAGUUGCAGAGAUGUAACGUUCCCUUUUAGGGACUGGGACAGAGGUGCUGCAUGGCUGUCGUCAGCUCGUGUCGUGAGAUGUUGGGUUAAGUCCCGCAACGAGCGCAACCCUUGCCCGGAGUUGCCAUCAGGUUAUGCUGGGCACUCUACGGGGACUGUCGGCGAAAAGCCGGAGGAAGGUGGGGAUGACGUCAAGUCCUCAUGGCCUUUAUGCCCCGGGCUACACACGUGCUACAAUGGGCGGUACAAAGGGCAGCCAACUCGCGAGAGUGAGCGAAUCCCAAAAAGCCGUUCACAGUUCGGAUUGCAGUCUGCAACUCGACUGCAUGAAGUUGGAAUCGCUAGUAAUCGCGGAUCAGCAUGCCGCGGUAAAUACGUUCCCGGGCCUUGUACACACCGCCCGUCACAUCACGGAAGUGGGCUGUACUAGAAGUCGCUGGGCUAACCUUCUUCGGGAGGAGGCAAGCGCCGACGUAUGUAUGCU
rnacentral:rRNA from 1 species